rnacentral:lncRNA from 1 species
UAUUGUCUAGAUGACAAUAUCUGUAUUUAAACUCACAGUUUAUAUGUUGUAAUAAUAAAGUUGUAGUUAUUUCUGUACCAUGUAUUUGAUGACUCAGAAUGGGUUGAGUGGAAUGGACCUAUUUUGGGGGCGUCACAAAAGUUAUGUGCAAGUAUCAAACUUUGAUAUAUGUGAAAAAAGAAUGAUCCAAUAAAUGGAAGAAAAUUAAUAUUA